rnacentral:rRNA from 1 species
AUUGAACGCUGGCGGCAUGCUUUACACAUGCAAGUCGAACGGCAGCGCGGGCUUCGGCCUGGCGGCGAGUGGCGAACGGGUGAGUAAUACAUCGGAACGUGCCCAGUAGUGGGGGAUAGCUCGCCGAAAGCCGGAUUAAUACCGCAUACGACCUGAGGGUGAAAGCGGGGGAUCUUCGGACCUCGCGCUAUUGGAGCGGCCGAUGGCGGAGUAGCUAGUUGGUGGGGUAAAGGCCUACCAAGGCGACGAUCUGUAGCUGGUAUGAGAGGAAGACCAGCCACAUGGGGACUGAGACUCGGCCCAGACUCUGACGGUAGGCAGCAGUGGGGAAUUUUGGACGAUGGGCGAAAGCCUGAUCCAGCAAUGCCGCGUGUGUGAUGAAGGCCUUCGGGUUGGAAAGCACUUUUGGCGGGAACGAAAAGGACUGCGUCAAUACCACGGUUCGAUGACGGUACCCGCAGAAUAAGCACCGGCUAACUACGUG